rnacentral:rRNA from 1 species
CUCUUGGUUCUGGCAACGAUGAAGAACGCAGCGAAAUGCGAUAAGUAAUGUGAAUUGCAGAAUUCAGUGAAUCAUCGAAUCUUUGAACGCACAUUGCGCCCCCUGGUAUUCCGGGGGGCACACCUGUUCGAGCGCCAUUUCAACCCUCAAGCCCCGCUUGGUGAUGGGCCCCGCCUGCGGGCGGGCCCGAAACUCGUGGGGCGUCGUCGUUCGGCUCCAAGCGUAGCAAAACCCUCGCUUGGGCGCCCGGACGGCGGCCGCCCGGAACGAAUUUUUACAAGGUUGGCCUCGGAUCAGGUGGGGAUACCCGUUGAACUUAA